UUAUACUCGAGUAAAAUUUGUUUUUUAUUAAUAUUGAUAGAACAAGCAUAAUUUAUUUUAUAAAUGCAAUGAUUGUUAAACUUUUGUUAAAAUGAUGAUCAAAACACAGACCUGUUCUGAUAUAAAUGAGGACAACUAUAAUAUUUUUCCUGAUUACUUUGUAAAACAUGUUAUUUCUUACCUGUAGAAUGUGAUACACAUACUAAUAAUAAUUUUAUUUUGUUUUAGGUACAACAUUGUUGGAUAAUCAAUAAUAAUCAUAUACAAAAGAUUCACAAAUCUUGGUCUUUAAAUUUAUAAGAAUCGGGAUAAUUCCAAAUAAUAAGAAAGGGGAUAUUUCCCUUGAAAUUAUUGUAAAGUGAAGAAAGAAGAAACAAAUUAAUGAAAAUAAUAUUGGGUUACAACUAAACCAUCGCCUUCGGCAGUGUUGACACUCUCGAAUAAAUAUGAUGUACGUGAACAAGACGAGAACGCGACCUACAACCUACAACACCUACAAAAAUUCAAUGGAUUUUUAAAGAAAUAAAAGAAAUAUUUUUCUAUAA